AUUUAAAUAGCUUAAUUAAAGCGAAGGAUUGUAAAUCCUAUGUUGGUUUAAUACCUUUCACCC
rnacentral:tRNA from 1 species